rnacentral:rRNA from 1 species
GAAGCGAAGCCGCGAGGCGGAGCAAACCUCACAAACAGCGUCUCAGUUCAGAUUGCAGGCUGCAACCCGCCUGCAUGAAGUCGGAAUUGCUAGUAAUCGCGGAUCAGCAUGCCGCGGUGAAUACGUUCCCGGGCCUUGUACACACCGCCCGUCACACCAUGAGAGCCGGGGGGACCCGAAGUCCGUAGCUUAACCGUAAGGAGGGCGCGGCCGAAGGUAAAACUGGUGAUUGGGGUGAAGUCGUAACAAGGUAGC